rnacentral:rRNA from 1 species
UACGGAGGGAGCUAGCGUUGUUCGGAAUUACUGGGCGUAAAGCGUGCGUAGGCGGUUAUUCAAGUCAGAGGUGAAAGCCCGGGGCUCAACCCCGGAACGGCCUUUGAAACUAGGUAACUAGAAUCUUGGAGAGGUUAGUGGAAUUCCGAGUGUAGAGGUGAAAUUCGUAGAUAUUCGGAAGAACACCAGUGGCGAAGGCGACUAACUGGACAAGUAUUGACGCUGAGGUACGAAAGCGUGGGGAGCAAACAGGG